rnacentral:siRNA from 1 species
GUUAAGGUACCGUAGAAAUCCGC